rnacentral:tRNA from 1 species
GCUGUGGCUCAGUGGUAGAGUGCUUGCCUAGCAUGUAUGAGGCACUGGGUUCAAUCCUCAGCACAACA